GGCUCUGAACUAAAUUUCUGUUUAUUCCUAUUUCUAGGUACCUGGCCUUGCAAUCCAGGGCUUCAAUAGGCCAUUUGUUGGGGCAGGAAGAUACUUUUUCCUGGAACAGCUACUACCUUUACCGAAUGUUUCCCGAUGUUCUCUGAGGUGACAGAGUGGGGCAGCGCUCGGACUGGGAACAGAAGCUCUUAGGCAGCGUAUCUUCAGCAGGAUUACCCUAAGGUAUAGCAAAAACCUUCUAAGUGACUUUGCCUCAGUUCUGCUGAGAGUAAGUAAGUUGGGAAAAUCAGAGAUUUACUUUUUACAUUUUUGGACAUGGAGGGGAAUAUGAGAGAGAGAAAGGAGCAAUAAAAGAGAGUGAUGGUAUGAUUGUGGGCA
rnacentral:lncRNA from 1 species